UGAAUGCAAUUUCCUAAGUACAAAAGUUCAAAUUUCAUCCACUAGACUAAUAUACACUAGUGUUUAUUUUAUUAUGGUAUUUAUUUUAUAGCGAUAUCUUUUUCGUUUGUGCAAUCUGUAAUUCAUAUAUUAAAUACCAAUUAGAACGAAUUUACAAGCGAUAAUGUGUCAAGAAGCUUGAAGAAUAACAGAUAUUUUUAAUACGGGACAAGUACACGAGAAAAAAAUAUGUUUAAACGUACAUUUAAAUUAGUUUUUCGUCCAAUUAAAAGCAAUUUUCUAUUGUUGCCUGAAAAUUAUUACAACGUAGUAUCAACAUAUGAUACUGGUUGUUUGAGUUUGCAAUACAGCGGGCACACACACUACGCAUCGUGGGCGCCACAUGCUGGCGCAGUGAAAGAUACCGAAAUUGGGAUCAAUGCCAGGGUGGCAAAAGAAAUCGGUUUGAGUGAAAAUGAUUUGGUGAAGUGUUCACUCAUAGCUGACGCAUUGACAUUGAGAAGCGUUUUUGUUACACCGGUGUCGGCCAAGGACUGGGAAAUAAUUGAGUUAAGCGGGGAAAAGAUCUCAAAUAGUGUCUUGGAACAAAUUCGCAUUGUAAAUUCUACACAAAUUCUUAUAAUAUGGAUAAACAAAUCAAUGCAAGUAGCCUUAACAGUAGAUCGUUUACGGCCAAUUGUCUCGUAUGGCCGUAUUGACCACAACACAGAGUUGGUGAUAGCACCAAAUCUGUAUAAGGAUAUUACGAAUGGUAGCAGCAAUGGUGUUUCCUCGAACACCAGUGACUCAAGCAUAAAUGCACUAGGCCAAUUGAAUCGCAGUCACACCAGCGCUCGGGUUCCCAACUUGACUGAAGGCAACUCCGAUCCUCAUUUGGUACGUUCAACAACAACUAAUAAUAUUAAAAAGUUAUCUCGCUCAGAGUCAAAAGCGAAAACGAGUCGCAAUGAUAAAAUGAUUCGUUUGAAAAAGGAUUUGCGUCGAGAAAGUACACAUACUUUGGAAUUUCGCGCUAUUAGCGGUGAAUGGAAGGAAAAAUCCCAAAUUUCUGACGUAUAUCUGAGUAAGAGUAAUUGGCCUCACUUUUUGGAAUGGAACAAUGUUUACUCUAUGAAAACACCCAGUGAGCAGGAGUAUUAUGUAAAAGUAUGUGUGUUGGCCGACGAUGAGGAACAGUACACCACUCAUACUAGUAUUCAGGUUAAUUUGAAUCUUAUGCGCAAAUUGAAUUUAAAAGAAAUGGAGAAAGUAGUACUCAAGCAGAAGGCGGCCGUGGUAAAUUUUGUAGAGAAAAUUGAACUGUACGCACAAAAGAAAACGCAUUAUAAGAUUAUUGAAAAUGCUUUUAAACGUUAUAUUAUAGAGAAAACCAAUAAAUCACCAAUGCUUUUAAAUCAGGAUGAAGUUGUACGCUUAGAGGAGAAUCUAACUGUGACCGUCGGUAUUUUGCCUGAACAUUUUCGUUAUUGUGUUAUAGAUUCGCAAUUUUUGAAAGAGUCAAAAAUUUAUGCUGCCGAUUUGGUUCGCAAAGUUGACGAGGUGCUUGAAGUACAACCCAAAGGGGAUUCUCCGUUAAGUGUUAAAGAUUUAAUAAAACUGCCAGCAUUUGAUGAAAUUGUUAUUAAUUUGGUGGAUGAAUUAAAAAUGAACUUGUGUUUGGAUUCAAAGAAUGCAAUAUUGAGACAAGGGAAUAUUCUUAUAGCAGGUGCAUCUGGCACGGGCAAAACUGUAGUGGUGGAGAGAAUAUUAGAUGAGUUGGUGAAGAAGCCUUAUUUUUGUUUUUUCGAUAUAUAUUACUGUUCGAGGAGUAAAGGAAGAAAGGCUGAAUCAAUACAAAAAGACCUGCGUAGUAUAUUUACCACUUGUUUGCAAAAUGCACCUUCCAUAGUCGUGCUGGAAAACCUCGAUGUACUAGCUCAUUCUGCAGGCGAUCAAACAACACAAGAUGGCGAAUAUUACAACCGAAUCGCUGACACUGUACAUCAAUUGAUUGUGCAAUAUACUAGUAACAAUCCCAUUUCAGUAAUCGCGACAGUAAGUGAGCUUCAAACAUUAAAUAAACGUUUAUUCUCGCCACGCGGACGCCAUAUUUUUCAAAAUGUAACAAGACUACCUAGUUUGGAACAUGAGGGACGAAAAUUGAUACUUCAAGAGCUUUGCAGUCACAUCGAAUCAGAGAAAUUAGAUUUGUGUAAAUUUACAAACUUAACUGAAGGCUACAACAAAGGAGAUCUAGUACAGUUGGUUGAGCGUGCUAUAUUUUACGCAUAUAGAAUAAGUAAAACUCAUCCUAUUCUCACAAAUGAGCUCUUAAUCGAUUCGUUGAAGAAUACGAAUUCUUAUUGCCUCCAAGGUAUUGAGAACCAUCAAAAGGUUAAUGAUGAUGACAAUUUCGACGAGUUGGCGGUUGAAGAGGUUCCGGGCUUAGAGCCAGUUGUUUCCGUAUUGGAGGAAGUGUUAAUGUGGCCAUCACGAUUCCCAAACAUUUUCCAAAAUUCUCCGCUUCGCAAUCAGGCUGGUGUUUUACUGUAUGGUUCGCCUGGAACUGGUAAAACGUUCCUUGUAUCUAAAAUUGCAAGUUCAUGGAAUUUGCGCACAAUAUCCGUUAAGGGGCCCGAACUGUUGGCUAAAUAUAUUGGACAAAGUGAAGAGAACGUACGGAACUUAUUUAAUCGUGCCCGUAGCGCGAAACCUUGUGUACUAUUUUUUGACGAAUUCGAUAGCUUGGCACCGAAACGUGGUCACGAUUCAACGGGCGUUACAGAUCGCGUUGUAAAUCAACUACUGACAGAAUUAGACGGUGUUGAGAGUCUGCAAGGGGUUACCGUAAUUGCGGCCACUUCUCGUCCUGAACUACUUGACCCAGCGCUACUACGUUCAGGACGUAUCGAUCGUUUCGUUGAAUGUGGUCUUCCCGACGCUUUGGCACGUGUGCGAAUUUUCGAAGCACUAUCAGCUUCUCUGAAUUUAGGUGACUGCGUUGAUUUUGAUUAUUUCGGCAGUCGCACUCAAAACUACACAGGCGCUGAUAUACAGAGCAUACUAACCUCGGCUAACAUGAUUUCGGUGAAAGAGGCUUUGUCCCAAUAUGGACAUGAGGAAAGAUAUGUACAUAAGCUAUACCAUUUUCAUCAACAAUGGCCGGCAUUAUUUGGAAAACAUGUGUGUUUAUGAAGAAAAGUUUUUGAAGAAUUGAUAAAAUAUAAUUGCGAAGACGACGGAGGAAAACUCUAAAUGCGCUGCCCGAGCUGAAAAUCUAAUGGGAUCAAUUGUAUCGCUAUCGUGAUGCAUUGUGUGAUAUUUUUCCCAAUGGUUAUUCCAAGUUAGGUUGUAUUAUUUCCUUAAAGGUCGAAAAGACCAAUUAUUUAUUUUCUUGCCUCCUCUAGGUUGUACAGAGUUUGGGUAAACGUUCUACACAGGUAAGCAUGGCUGUGCAAUGCCUUAAUUAACUACUUAUUCUUUACUCUGUGUAUUUUUUAAGUGUUUUUAGAUGACACUCAACACUUUCCAUUUUUCUGGUGUGUCGUACCACUUGUGCGAAGUCUAAAGGAAAUUAUUAAUAUCUCCAAGGAGUCAACAACUCUCUUACAGUAUUCUUUACUGGCGGUACGGCGCGGGACGCCGUGAAGGUUAAGAACGUGCAGUGUCGUUUGGAGCACACCGCCUUGUGAAAGAUAAUGGUCAACACUGUUAUUUAUACGCAGAGGACUGUCAUCUCGGAAGAUCAAGAAUUCGUAAAGGUCUACUAUGAGAUGCCCGAUUUCAAUACAACAUGAAUUUCGCCAUGGUUGCUGCGUAUCGAAUUAAAAUAUUUCAAGUGUUGAACAUAAAGGAUGUGCGUAAAUUGGUUGAGAAGAAAAUGAUUGCUUUGCUGAAGUUCUACGGCUUGUUCGUCAACUAUCGUCCCUUGGCCUUGUGUGAGGUAAUGACAGCUUACUGAAUACAAGUUACCCUUGUUAAUCAUUUCCCUGCAAGACGGAGGUUUCAACAGUAAAACACGAAAGCGGAAUCAAACUCAAACAAAGCAACAAAUGAUCAAACUGCGAAUGAAUAUGACGACUGGGAAGAUGAUUGGGAUAAUGACAAUGAAACUUAUUCGGAAAUUGGGUCCAGUGGUGAGACAAAAACUAGUAAUUACCCAGGACACGCUAACGCACUCACACAUUUCGCUAGCAAUUACACGGUAACUUUAAAAACGUCUAGUAUGCUCGGCAAAAGUUCGGAUUCAUAUAUAUGUAUUUUAUUGUGAGUCAAAUGCAAUUUCAACAUAAUUCUGUUGCAGGUACCAAGACGAUACAAGCAUUUUGAUUGGUUAUGCGAACGUGCCUCAUUCCCAUACCACCGUUGCUAAAUAAUCAAAUUUCUUAACGUUACGAAAAAUAAUUUGUGGAGCAUCGAUGGGUUCAAUAGCAAGAAUUUUUAGAUUGGGUUUUUAAUCAUCCGGUACUGUCACAAUGUGAGCUUUGACAUCAUUUCUUGACCUGCAACGAUGACAAGAUGUGAAAAUCAACGUGUCACGUAUGGUACAAUUGAAAGAGUGUUCUAUUGUUGGGCCAUAUCACCGUCGAAAAAACAUUGUUGUAUUCGCUUGUUAAGAAUUGCAACAUAUUGGUGAUAGCAAUUUGGGCCUGGCAAAGGCCUUAAAUAUAGAGGAGCGUAGUGCACCCUCAAAAACAACACCGAUUUCGGAAAGUGUUGGGCACGCCUAAAUUGGACUGGAUACCAUUCUCGGAGGUUUUGCAUAUCUACAAGUAACACGACACGAAAAUAAGUCUCUGUUUAGUUACAUAUGCAUGAGGAAUGACCUUGUGCCUGGAGAUACUCCAGAAGCCGAUAUUUCAGUAUCUUCUGACUGGUAUUAGAGGAUUUAAUCUAAUUUCUAACUCACUUAUUAAUCUCGUACUAUACUUAAAAAUAUAUCCCAAAUACGUAUACUUAUACCUAAUGUCUUCAUUUUCUAUGAAUUUUUAUUUCAGAGGCGUCCUCAUGAGUUUUCCUGAAAUUCUCUCAACACACAAGGGUGUAAUGCAAAAAACUCAAAGAAUCCGAACGUUUAACCUCUGAGCCAAAGAUGAGCAAUACCCAAAUGAGCGAUGUGAAUCGUCGCACUGAUGUUAUUUCCUAUGCUGUAAUGGCUAAAAAGUCGAAUUUUAAAGAAGAAUGUGAUACACAGAUGAAACAGGCGCUUAAAUCAUUUGUAGUCCAUUGCAUGGUGCAUUAUCGUAAUGAAGGGACGAAAUCAUAUUUUUUAUGCAUAUAGAUUUAUAAUUGUAGUACAAGUAAUUGUUUAUAAGAUUAUCCUUAUAGAUGUACUUUACUUGUUUAAGAAUACAUUUUAAGUGUUAAUAUCUAUAUUUAAAUUUUUGCUGUGUUAAUAUUUAUAUUUAAACUAUAAUAUGUAUAUAUUUAAUUUAUAUAUGUAUGUAUAAGCUAUAUUUUAAUAUUUAGUUUAAGUAAAUACGUUUUUAUAAAUAAAUGGAAGUAAUA